ACCAUUGUUCUCAGUGAAGGAACUCAAGAAUGGAAAACCAAACAUUAUAUGUUCUCACAAGUAAGUGGUAGCUAAGCUAUGAGGAGGCAAAGGUGUAAGAAUGAUAUAGUGGAUCUUGGGGACUGAGUGGGAAAUGGUAGGAAAGAGAUAACAGACAAAAGGCUACAAAUUGGGUUCAGUGUAUACUGCUCGGGUAAUGGGUGUACCAGAAUC